GGGAGAGAUGGGCUACACUCUCUAAUAUAGAGAAUACGAAAGGCUACAUAUGAAAACUAGCCGGAAGGCGGAUUUAGAAGUAAAAAGAAACAAGAGUGUCCUUUUUAACUCGGCACUGGGGUGUGUACACACCGCCCGUCACCCUCUUCAAAGCUAACAAACAGUAUAUAACUAACUUAUGCAAUAUAGAAGAGGCAAGUCGUAACAUGGUAAGUAUACCGGAAGGUGUGCUUGGAAA
rnacentral:rRNA from 1 species